CUACGGGCUGCUCCAGUGGGGAAUAUUGGGCAAUGGGCGCAAGCCUGACCCAGCAACGCCGCGUGAGGGAAGAAUGUCUUCGGAUUGUAAACCUCUGUCCUUAGGGACGAAAAAAAUGACGGUACCUAAGGAGGAAGCUCCGGCUAACUACGUGCCAGCAGCCGCGGUAAUACGUAGGGAGCAAGCGUUGUCCGUAAUUAUUGGGCGUAAAGGGUGCGUAGGCGGUAAUCCAAGUCAGAUGUGAAAGACCCGGGCUUAACUCGGGAGGUGCAUUUGAAACUGGGUUACUUGAGUACAAGAGAGGUAAGUGGAAUUCCUAGUGUAGCGGUGAAAUGCGUAGAUAUUAGGAGGAACACCAGUGGCAAAGGCGACUUACUGGACUGUCACUGACGCUGAGGCACGAAAGCGUGGGGAGCAAACAGGAUUAGAUACCCGAGAGUC
rnacentral:rRNA from 1 species